AAGCAGCCACAACCCCACCCUACGAGCUACUGGGGAUACUAUCGACGCCGCUAAAUGCGUACAAACACUGAUCGACGCUAAAAUGCUUCCUUUCCACCUCCAUUUCGCGCUAACCACACUAACGAGGUAACAUGUCUCACCACCAGCUGAGACAACGCCCCGCUCGCAAAGAGGAGAAAACGUCUCUCCGCACGCUAGAGACGUGAGUAUUGCUGCUUCGGGCGCUGUUCGGCCUAGCCGCGUGAUGGGCGAUUACGUGAUGAACCAAAGGGGUACAUUACCAACCGCCCUCAGCCGGCGCCAUUGACUGGAUUCUCUAGCUAUCUGCGUCUGGAAUGCAGGUCUUUCCCGGUGACGGGAUGACAGAAUGUGACAUGACUGAUUUGAUGCCAUGACAUGCUGUGCCCAUGACAUCUGGACCAUCAUCUACCGAGUGUGACGCGCCACAUGCAUAGUGUUAUUCGAGAAAUGAAGAAACACUCUCCAUUACGGUCAUAUCUCCUUGCUGUUGUCCGCUCACUACCUCUAAUAAAGUUAACUAGACGAUCGCCGUUGAUCGUCAGUCAAUCUCAUCAGGGUCGAUCCAAUCGAUGGAAACACACAACUACUCGAAACGAACAAAUCUUCCCUUCAGGGGCACUUUCUUGGCCGCAGAAUUCCAGGCCGUUUCCCAAAGCCUAAUCUGAAAACGUAUCACAAAAUCCUUGAGCCGCGGUUUCUCUCGGUUUUUUUAUCCUACACACAAUUUGGAAUGAUAGCUGUUUACCUGGGGUACGGGGGGAGUCUAAUGAUAUGUUUUAUUAUCCCCCUUGACUAAUAUUAUGGCUGUUGGAGAAGGAUUUGAAAAUGGGCUUGGCAGGACUUGAAAUUGGUCUACAAUUUCGAUUUUCUGUUCUAGAACCCUAGGCCCUGUUAUUGUAUAGGUAUUUCUUAUCAAAACAUGACAAUUUCUUUUGU
rnacentral:misc_RNA from 1 species